UUGAGAUCAAGGCUUAGUUGAGUUGAGUUGAGUUCCUGUUGCAGUGGCAAGUUAAGCUUGGAUGGUCUGAUACUCUGCAGGCAACUGCUUGCAGCCACCUGGUGGUUAAGGUGCAGAGGAACUUGCAAUUCCUUUCUUUUUAAAAUGGCAGAUCUGAGCCUUCUUUUCAUCCUCCCCUUGUUUACUAUGUUGAAUCUCUGAAUUAAGUACUG
rnacentral:lncRNA from 1 species